AGCUUCCUCUUGGCAUCCCUGGCUCAGGUUGUAGAUGGCUGAACUCUUCCUCAAACUUGCAUGUGUGAGAAUGGUGUGGGGCAAUUCCCCUGUGCCCAACUUCCUGAGUCUGUAUUGGAGAAACCCUAAAUCAUAGCCUGACCACACUGAGUUUUUCUCUCUCUCUGCAGCUGCCUUCAGUGACCCAGGCAGGUGGAAGGAAAUGAGCCAUGAAAGGGCUUUUUCCAGCUCAGCGGCAAAAUGUCUCUGAUAAUAGUUCAGGGUGUUGCAGCCUUGGCAUUUUGAUAUGUUCUGGCCCUGUGUAACAAUGAGGCCCUGCCUCCAUCGUACCCAACCUCAACUAGGAAACUAACCAUGUGCAUGUGACCUUGAUCUCCCACCUCUGAUUCUCAGAAUUAGUCAUUUCCUUCCUCUUCAGCUCACUUCUUAGGCUAGCAUCAUUCUCUAGGACCUGGCUCUGUUCAUGCCCUCACCCUACUAGGGUCUUUAUGAGUAAGGCGUCAGGGUCCUGAUCUGACCCUGGCAGUCCUAUGGAGCCCAGAUCAUCCCCCAAGGUUUCUUGAGGAAUGGGUGUCACCGGAGCUUGAAGGGAAAGGAAAAAGGGGCUUGAAGGGUAAUGAGAUCUGAAACAUAGCUUUCUUAUCCAGAACAUGUUGAUGGACCAAGUGAUUCCUAAAGUCUCGGAGCCAAUACAUGACAAUGAGUUCGUUUUGCCUAUAUUGAAUCUCAUCUAGUGAGUUACUGUGGAAAUGUGGAUUCAUUUUCUAAAAUCUCUAAACUACCCUGUUUUCUCGUGAACCUUGACUCUCCCAAUGUUGCUGUCAGCACAGAGCCCAACGUGGGGCUCUGUCUCACGAAUGGUGAGAUCAUGACCGGAGCUGAAAUCAAGAGUCGGGGAUGCAAGAGCCUCUCAAACUGCCUUGAAUGAACCCUAGUUCCUGGUGAAGACAAGAACUGACUUUUCUAAGGUGAGAAAACACAGGCCCAGAGAGGACAAGCAACUUGCUCAACGUCACCCAAUAUGUGAACUUGCACAACUUUACCUAGAGGUGGCUGCAUCUGUGCUUCCUGUCCAUCUGAGCAAACCAUUGAUGUGUGCCAGUAUGGCGGUUGACGAAGACCUUGGAACCAUGUGUUUACCAUCACGGGAGUUAAAAACAGUACAGGGGCACUGGGACACAGUGGCUGUCUGUGAUCUUGGGGCGCCUGGAUGUAGCUGUCCUGAACCUGUCUUCUGUAAGUCAGGUGAGUCAGGCUAGAAUUUCCUGAACUACAUACUCCUAAGAAAGUCUUUUCGAGUAGAAAACAUCUCAGAACACACCAAGGUGCCCACUGCAUUGCGAAUAUAUCAUAGAUCAGCCCCUGGAAAAAAGAAAUGCUAAUCAUUCCUUUGUCUGUCUCCUGUGUCCAGGAGAAAGCCAUCAUUUAUUUUGCAGGCAACCUCAACACUGUGCACUGUCUGCAGUUGUCCAAGUGCUGUUUCUGAUGUGGGAUGGGCAGCCCCUCCCCCCUCUUCCUAGAAGAGUCUUUGGCGGAACAUCAGUGAGUCUGUGCUCAGUCAAGCCAUUAACCUUCCAAAUUUAAAUAAGGGGAAAUCCUCCUCCUCUUCAUCCUUCUCUGUCUUAUUUAUUUAUUUAUUUAUUUAUUUAUUUAUUUAUUUAUUUAUUUUUAAAAGGCCAUACCAAUUGGCAGGGAUGUGGCUGCAGAAGUAAAAACAGUGUUACAUUGCUUUUUGCUAAUUACCUCUACGGGAGUCCAGACUCCAACGGAAGGUUCUAGAACUUGAAGAUUUGUGUUUUCUAAUUAGGGAAUGAUGACUGUAAACAGACCACCUGACUCAGAGAAGAUAACCUGAGGGGUUACUUUGCUGGCUCCUCUCUUUUGUACUUCCGGACACCUGCCUUCACAGGUUAAAUAAUCAGUAAUACCCAAUAAAAACAAACUUGAGCUACAUUUCGGGCAAGCAAGCCCCGCCAAUGAGGGGUUACAGCUGAGUGUAGGAACAGCCCUUCCUCUUGGCAUCCUGACUUGUCAGCCUGUCACAAUGAGUCUGCAGGUCUGGAACCGCAAAUGUGACAGUUUCCUGGGGCCAGGGGUGGGGCACCAAACUACCAUAGCACAGCUUCUGCAGAAAUAUUUUGUACAAAUAACACCAACAUUAUAUAAUCAGCUUCAAAAUAGUUUUCAAUACGUUGAUUCUCAACUCCCUCUGGAGUUGAAAAGCCAGCAGCUUUUCCCAAAUAGUUAGGAAUCUAUGUUAUCUUGGUUUCUUAUGCUCUAUUUUCAAAGUAAGAAGGCCUAUAUGAGAAGAAAUUAAGUUGUUAUUUCCAUGAAUUGGUGGUGCUACUGGAGAUGUAAGUGAAUGUAGACUUUUCUGCUAUUCUCUAAUGCACUACAGGUACAUUUGCCGGCUUGGUUUGCAAUUUAACAAAAACUAUUUUCCAAAUUUGGGAUCGUGAAAUAAAUUGUACCUACCGUGUGUGUGUGUGUGUGUGUGUGUGUGUGUGUGUGUGUCUUGCAUUUACAUUUUUCACAUUCUACAGGCUUUCCUACUCAUUAGUUAGCACUUGGAUUUGUACAACUGGGACCCUUUGUUAGAAACAUCAGGAUAACAAUAAAGUAAAACGCUCAGUAAAAGCGAACAGGAAAUCCUACCACCAACGAUCAAAUGAAACCGACCAACCGACCAGCCAAUCGGCCAAUAAGUAAAUAAAAACAAGAAGGAACAGCUACAUUUUCAUUACUCAUUGGGAUAAAUCAGGGUGAAUUUGAAAGCAUUUAACAUAAAAGCAAGUUUUUGAAUAUAAUUUGUAAGUCGGAAGAUUGAUGGGAAUAUUUUGUUUAUAAAUAUACUUGUCGCAUUGAAUGAUGUAAAGUGAAAUUACAUGCAAUUUGCACGUGAAUUGCAGACCUGAUGCUAUUUGUUGCUUUUUUUUUAAACGAUUGUUCUCUUAUUGUAGUCAUGAUACAUAGACAAUGUAGGAAAUUGAAGACACAGAAAUAAGCAAAAAGAAGACAAUUAAAAUCACAGAAUGCACCUGUCAGGAAACGUCUUGUGUCCAGCCUCCUUCCUUAGCGGCAUGCUGAAGGAGAACUUAACACAGCAGCAGAACACCUACACCCGAGCCAGAGGCCACCACGAGAGCCUUUCUAGGCGAAAACCCCGCUGAAGCAAAACGUGCAGCAAAAGAAAGUGAACAACCUCAGGCAUUUGCUCGAAUCCUGAAUAUAAAUAGGAAACAAGCAGACGGGGGCUUCUUCCCCAGAAGGAUCGGCCGCGGCGUGCACGCAGGCAGACACCGGCGUCAAGAACAGAACAAAAAUAACCAUGUGUUUCAGCCGGGUGUGUCACCAUAUUGUCCUCAACAUGAGGAUAUUAAUUUCUCAGUUUUCACAGAUAAGUUUAAACAUAGGAACAUGUCACAAAUAAGCAGCAAGCUCCGUGAGGCUACGUCAGCUGGGAUUUCACAGUCUGCCAUUUUUACAUUCAGCCGGGUCCCCCAGGACCAAUCAAUAUUGGUGGCAAUUAUUCUUAGUACACGGUCCAAAUGAAAUGGGUGUGUUUUUUCUUUUUUAUCAAGGUGGGAGACUGUGAUAUAGAAAUAAGCAAAUUCCCUGGUGGAUGGCAAUUGGGCCUCCUAACAGCUGCAGCGAGUCGGCUGUGGGUAUCUGCUCCUGGUCCUCGGGAAUAGCCCCGUAAUGACCCGCAUUAUUUUAACCCUUCAGCGUGCGUGAGCUGUGUUUGAUAGUUUAGCUUGGAAAAAGCCUAGCGUGUGUCAAACAAAGAGAGGCUGAAAAAAAAAAAACCAAACAAGACAGGGGCCCCUCCCGAAGCAGCUGAUCACCUUCUCCACAGGUUUUAUUUACACCCCGGUUUCUAAGCCACAACCUCUAGAGGGCCGAUGCUUGGGGCACAGGGAUGUUUUCAUGAAGCAGAGAGCCAUUUACGUUCUAUAGGGAAAGACGGCGAACAUCUUUUUUCUUCUUUUCUUUUUUCUUUCUUUCGUUCUUUUUUUUUUUUUUUUUACACUUCUAAAAGGCAGAUACUGAAUUAUGGAACUCCCUAGAUUUUACUCUUCAAAAGUUAGGUUUUUCUUUAAAAAAUUUUGUCUACUCUGGGGUUGCACAGAGGAGGGGUGGCAGUAGAAAUGAAGGUGGGGAACAAGAAGCAGAAUGUCAGAGGAGGAAUGGCAGUUCAAGUUCUUUCCCCCCGGGUGGGGGGCGGGGGUCCAUGUUUGAGUUCUUUGGCGCUAACCUCGAAGGAUCUGGCUAGCGAUACGAACUAAACCCAAGUCUUCGACAGAGACAAGGAGGGAUGGAAAAACGCUCCCCCGUUGCAACAAAUAAGGACUGCGUUUGAAUUUCCUAAUUCUUGGACAGGGACCUCUUUUGUCUUCAGCCCAAUCCCCAAUAGAGCUUUUCAUACAGUUGAGUUUUUAGCUAAUUAAUCACUUAAAAUGUCAGGGUGCUAGGAAUCUAAAUUUUUUCUAAGGUCAUUUUAUGUUAGCUGAUAAAAAAAAACAAAUCAAAA